GUCUCAGUGGGAGAGCAUCUGCUUUGCAUGCAGAAGGUCCUGGGUUCAGUCCCUGGCAUCUCCA